rnacentral:rRNA from 1 species
AGUGAACGCUGGCGGUAUGCCUAAUACAUGCAAGUCGAACGGCCGCACAGUAAGCUCUUGCUCUUACUGGUGGCGACUGACGGACGGGUGAGGCAUACAUCGGCUUCUACUUUUUCGUGGAUGAUAUCGUAGGGACACUUACGCUACUACCUCAUACUUCCUACGGCUUAAUUCAGGGGAUCUUCGCACCUUUCCCGAUUCUAUUAGCUGAUGUCGCAUUAGCUAGUUUGCUGGGUAAGGGCCCACCAAGGCGACGCUCCGUAGCUGAUCUGAGAGGAUGAUCAGCCACACUGGAACUGAGACACGGUCCAGACUCCUACGGGAGGCAGCAGUAGGGAAUAUUCGGCAAUGGGCGCAAGCCUGACGGAGCAAUGCCGCGUGGGUGAAGAAGGUCUUCGGAUUGUAAAGCUCUGUUAUUAGGGAAGAAAAGAAGCAGGAGAAAACGUGGAUGUCUUGACGGUACCCAAACAAAAAGCAACGGCUAACUUCGUG